rnacentral:rRNA from 1 species
UACGUAGGGUGCGAGCGUUGUCCGGAAUUAUUGGGCGUAAAGAGCUCGUAGGCGGUUUGUUGCGUCUAUCGUGAAAACCUGCAGCUUAACUGUGGGCUUGCGGUGGAUACGGGCAGACUUGAGUUCGGUAGGGGAGACUGGAAUUCCGUGGUGUAGCGGUGAAAUGCGUAGAUAUCGUAAGGAAGACCAGUGGCGAAGGCGGGUCUCUGGACAGUUCCUGACGCUGAGGCACGAAGGCCAGGGGAGCAAACAGG